rnacentral:tRNA from 1 species
AGGAAUAAUGGCUGAGCGGUUAAAGCGGUAGACUGUAAAUCUAUUGGGUAACCACCGUUGGUUCGAAUCCAACUUGUUCCUA